rnacentral:rRNA from 1 species
GAUGAACGCUGGCGGCGUGCCUAAUACAUGCAAGUCGAGCGAACAGACGAGGAGCUUGCUCCUCUGACGUUAGCGGCGGACGGGUGAGUAACACGUGGAUAACCUACCUAUAAGACUGGGAUAACUUCGGGAAACCGGAGCUAAUACCGGAUAAUAUAUUGAACCGCAUGGUUCAAUAGUGAAAGACGGUUUUGCUGUCACUUAUAGAUGGAUCCGCGCCGCAUUAGCUAGUUGGUAAGGUAACGGCUUACCAAGGCAACGAUGCGUAGCCGACCUGAGAGAGUGAUCGGCCACACUGGAACUGAGACACGGUCCAGACUCCUACGGGAGGCAGCAGUAGGGAAUCUUCCGCAAUGGGCGAAAGCCUGACGGAGCAACGCCGCGUGAGUGAUGAAGGUCUUCGGAUCGUAAAACUCUGUUAUUAGGGAAGAACAAAUGUGUAAGUAACUAUGCACGUCUUGACGGUACCCAAUCAGAAAGCCACGGCUAACUACGUG